UACCCCCCAUUUCCGGCUCCUCCCCGAGUUUUGGGACACCCUGUAUAUACAAUGGUCAUGUAAGGAAGAGCGGCACUUCCAAAGAGGAACAACGAAUUGGAUAACAUAGAUAAGAAUAGUGCAGAUCAACAAUAAUGAACAGUAGUAUAUAGUAAUAGGGAACCCUGUGAACAAUUGAUAUUGAAUGUUGUUUCUGUGUUUACAGGUAAUAAUAUAUAUACAGUGGUUAUGUAUAUAUGUAAGGAAGCGUGACACUUCCAGAGAGGAACAAUGAAUUGGAUAAGAUAGAUAAGAAUAGUGCAGAUCAACAAUACUGAACGACAGUAUAUAAUAAUAGUGAACCCUGUGAACAAUUGAUAUUGAAUGUUGUUUCUGUGUUUACAGAGAAACAAUUCUUGUUAAUAUAACCAACCUCCAUCCUGAUACGAAGAUUCACAUUAUAUAUAUAAUAAAAAUACAUUUCUGCGAAUAGCAGUUGUUGUUAUUAUUUAGAGUGCUUUUCGAUUAACUCUACUUUUACUUUACAUACAGAACUCUAGGAAUUGUUAACUUUGUCCCAUCCUAUCUAAA